GGAGAGAUGCGAGAGCGGUUGAAUCGGACGGACUCGAAAUCCGUUGUACCUUUAUGGUACCCAGGGUUCGAAUCCCUGUCUCUCCG
rnacentral:tRNA from 1 species